rnacentral:rRNA from 1 species
GUGAAGCCCCGGGCUCAACCUGGGAACUGCAUUUCGAACUGGCAACUAGAGUGUGAUAGAGGGUGGUAGAAUUUCAGGUGUAGCGGUGAAAUGCGUAGAGAUCUGAAGGAAUACCGAUGGCGAAGGCAGCCACCUGGGUCAACACUGACGCUCAUGUACGAAAGCGUGGGGAGCAAACAGGAUUAGAUAACCUGGUAGUCCACGCCGUAAACGAUGUCUACUAGAAGCUCGGAACCUCGGUUCUGUUUUUCAAANUAACGCAUUAAGUAGACCGCCUGGGGAGUACGGCCGCAAGGUUAAAACUCAAAUGAAUUGACGGGGGCCGCACAAGCGGUGGAGCAUGUGGUUUAAUUCGAUGCAACGCGAAGAACCUUACCUACACUU